UCGGCCUUAGAUAACUCUAUGUCCGCCAUGACAAAUUGAACCAAAUAUCGCGUCUGUUUUGUUCGCUGCAGCGGUGCCGUUUUUUCCAUUUUCUGUGGUGAAAAUUAAGAAAAAAAAUGUUUGAACUGCCGCUGUUACUAUCAAGUUAUGGCCGUACGAUGACCGGAAAAUCUGGAACAACCAGAAUCUCGUGGCCAACCGAACCGAAUCCUCAUUCGGUAGAUCCAGCUCAAUAAAAGUGUGCUUCAACAGUGUUAAAUAUUAUGAAAAUAAAUGUUCUAAAACUGUUUCA
rnacentral:lncRNA from 1 species